rnacentral:rRNA from 1 species
AUACGUAGGUGGCAAGCGUUGUCCGGAAUUAUUGGGCGUAAAGCGCGCGCAGGCGGCUAUGUAAGUCUGGUGUUAAAGCCCGGGGCUCAACCCCGGUUCGCAUCGGAAACUGUAUAGCUUGAGUGCAGAAGAGGAAAGCGGUAUUCCACGUGUAGCGGUGAAAUGCGUAGAGAUGUGGAGGAACACCAGUGGCGAAGGCGGCUUUCUGGUCUGUAACUGACGCUGAGGCGCGAAAGCGUGGGGAGCAAACAGGAUUAGAUACCCUGGUAGUCCACGCCGUAAACGAUGAGUGCUAGGUGUUGGGGGUUUCAAUACCCUCAGUGCCGCAGCUAACGCAAUAAGCACUCCGCCUGGGGAGUACGCUCGCAAGAGUGAA